CAAGGCUACCAGACCCAGGACCCGUGAAACCUCGGAGUUCUUGCUCACUUGAGAUGAAAGGGGAGACCGGUUGAGGGUGUCACUUCCAUCCCCUCUGACAGCCUGCAGAGGAAGGCAGGAAUCAAACUCUGGUCAUCAGGCCGCCACAGCAAGCACUUUUCCAGAUGGAGCUUUUUCGCUGGCUUGAAAGAGUUAAUUAUUAACUCUGGAAAGAACAUAGUAACUCUACAAUGGAGAAAAUGGCAG
rnacentral:lncRNA from 1 species